rnacentral:misc_RNA from 1 species
GAUGAAGAACGUAGCGAAAUGCGAUAAGUAAUGUGAAUUGCAGAAUUCAGUGAAUCAUCGAAUCUUUGAACGCACAUUGCGCCCGCCAGCAUUCUGGCGGGCAUGCCUGUUCGAGCGUCAUUAUAACCCCUCAAGCUCAGCUUGGUGUUGGGGCCUGCUGCACUGGCAGCCCUUAAAAUCAGUGGCGGCGCCAUCUGGCUCUAAGCGUAGUAAUUCUUCUCGCUAUGGAGUCCUGGUGGAUGCUUGCCAUCAACCCCCAAUUUUUCUAUGGUUGACCUCGGAUCAGGUAGGGAUACCCGCUGAACUUAAGCAUAUCAAUAAGCGGAGGA